CAUUACAAGCCAUCUAAUGUUGUACCGAGCAAUAAUCUCAACAAUCCCUUUCUCAAUAUUAUCCAUCUCAAUCCAUACUUUAUCUGCUCGAACCCCUUCUUGGGCAAGAAUGAGACAGUAUUGAUUUAGAACAUCCAGCAUUUUUUUCUUUUCAAGCUCAUGGAAUGCACUAAAAGUGUCUUGUUGCGGUUUUGUCACAG
rnacentral:misc_RNA from 1 species